UCUUUUUGCAGAAUUUUUUUUUUUUGAGGUAGAAUGAGAAACUAUAUUAAAUCACGCGAAGCAAUAUCUGUGAGCCAAGCAGGAAAGCUUGACUUCCAGAUCAUUACACCAGAAGAAGAAGCGGCAAAGUUCGCCAAACAAUGUGCCGCCCGGUUAGCUUCUCUCCGGGCAUGGCAAAAAUCAAGGACAAUGUGGUGUUUCGCAUGAGUGAACGCCUCAAAAAGGUCGUCGCAAAGAGAGUCAGUUCCUCCUCGAUCCUCAUGAAG
rnacentral:lncRNA from 1 species